rnacentral:rRNA from 1 species
CCUACGGGAGGCAGCAGUGGGGAAUAUUGGUCAAUGGACGAAACUCUGAACCAGCCACGCCGCGUGCAUGAUGAAGGUCUUCGGAUUGUAAAGUUCUUUUUUUAGGGAAGAAGAAAGUGACGGUUCCUUAGGAAUAAGCAUCUGCUAACUACGUACCAGCAGCCGCGGUACUACGUAGGAGGCGAGCGUUAUCCGGAAUGAAUGGGCGUAAAGGGUGCGUAGGUGGUUGGGCAAGUUAGUAGCGUAACUCCAAGGCUCAACCGUGGAACUGCUACUGAAACUGUUGGACUUGAGUGCAGGAAGGGCAGCCGGAAUUCCUGGUGUAGCGGUGGAAUGCGUAGAUAGCAGGAGGAACACCAGUGGCGAAGGCGGGUUGCUAGAGUGUAACUGACGCUGAGGCACGAAAGCGUGGGGAGCAAACAGGAUUAGAUACCCGUGUAGUC